ensembl:rRNA 5S_rRNA 5S ribosomal RNA
GCCUGGUUAGUACUUGGAUGGGAGACCACCUGGGAAUACCAGGU